ensembl:lncRNA
GCAGUGGCAGGAGGAGGUCUUGACCCAACCUGAGUCCUGGCUGUCUCCCCUCUGAUGGGACAGAGCCCCGAGAACAAAACUCUCAGCCUUCUAGGUGCUCAAGAGCUGGAAAACGAGCCAGGCGUGGUUGCGUAUCCCAGUUAUCCCAGCACUCAGGAGGCUGAGGCAGGAAGAUUGCUGUGAGUUCAAGGCCACCUUGGGCUACAAACCUCCACCUGCGGGCCUCCCUGUAGCCAGCCUGCCUCCCACUCAACCAGGAGGCCCUGGAGGCUUCGCUCCAGCCAGCAGUGGGCCCAGAGCCUCUGCUGCCGCCACCUCCUCCACAUGCCGGCCCCUGCAGCCACAGAGCAUCACAGUGCGGAGCCUUUGUUUGUACAUCAGUUUCCUGAAAGUUCAGUUAUUGUGAGUCUUGCCCCAGCUAGCAGGUGUUGCUAGGUAACAGAAAUUGCAUUUGUUUUAAUGAGUCGUCAUGAUGUGGUCUGGGAAGAGCUCUGGCCCUUGGAUCUCCAGGGAUGCUUUCGCAACUCUGCACAGGUGACUCUAACACUGGGGCCUUGCCCGACAGAGCAGGGCCCCCAAGACAGUAAGAUAAAUGUCUCUACAAGAGUUGAAGACAUAACAGAAAUUACUGGGGUAUUUUGGUUCAUUUGAGACAGGGUCUCGCUAUGUAGUUCAGGCUGGCUUUGAACUCCCCUAGACUGGCCUCAAACUCAUAGAGAUCCUCCUACCUCAGCCUCCCAAGUGCUGGGAGUACAGGCCUUCGCCAUCACGCCCAGCAAAUAAUUGGAUUCCAAAAAGAGGAUUAAACAGGAUACAAAAUCUACAUUAAAUUAAUAGCUUUUCUAUUCACCAAUAAUAAAUUUGCUGACAAGGAAAUUGAGAAAAUAAUUCCAUUAACAAUAGCUUCAAAAAACAAACCCUGGGGGCCCACCCAACCAAGGCAGUGAAAAUCACAAAGAUUACUGAAGAAAGUGACUGAAGAAGAUACCAGGAGAGGGAAGGGGCCAUGUUCAUGGGUGAGGGAAUUAAUGUUUCAGUGGGUUAAUUUUCAGCAGUACUGGGAACUGGACCCAGAACCUUUGCACUGAGCUAUGUCUCCAGCCCCUGUCUUAUUUUUUUUGGUAUCGGGGAUCAAACUCGGGUCCUUGCACUUGUGCAGCAGGUGGCGAAACCACCGAGUUAAAUCCCUGGCCCCCUUGUCGUUUAUUUUGAGACAGGGUCUCGCUAUGUUGCUAGCAUGCCCAGGCUUAAAUAUUUGGUCCUCCUGCCUCAGCCUACCAGAAUGCUGGAAUUUCAGUUGUGUGCCACAAUGCCUGGCAGAAUUAAAAUUAUUAAAAUAACUAUAUUACAAAGGCUACAUACAGGUUCAGUGCAAUGCUCAGCAAAAUGUGAAUAACAUUUUUCACAAAACUAGAAAAAAACUCCUAAAACCAAUCCCAAGCAAAAAGAGCAAGACUGAGGCCUCACGAUACCUGAUUUUAAGUUACAUUGUAGCUGGGCACCAUAGUGCACAUCUGUGAUCCCAGCAUUUGGGAAGCUGAGGCAGGAAGAUUGCCACAAGUUCAAGACCAGCCAAGUUCAAGUCCACUGUGAACUGCAUGGCAAGAACCUGUCUCAAAAAAUAAAAUAAAGGCCAGGGAUUUAGCUCAGUGGUUUUGCCACCUGCUGCGCAAGUGCAAGGGCCUGAGUUCAAUCCCCGGUACCAAAAUAAUAAUAAUAAUAAUAAUAACAAUAAAAUAGAAUAGAAUUACAAAACAAGAAUUGUAUGAAAAAUGUUCAGCUGGGGAUUUAGCUCAGUGGUUCUGUUCUGCCGCCUGCCUCGCAAGCCCAAGGUCCCAAGUUCGAUCAUCCCCGGUACCAAAAAAUAAAAAAAUAAAAAGUUUCACUGGGAGGAUAUUUAAAAAAAAAAAGAAUUCAAAAAACAACAAAUGCCGCUAAGGAUGGGGGCCACUUGUACACCGCUAGUGGGAAUGUAAAUUACACCAUUACCAUGGAAAUCAGUAGGGAGGUUCUGCAAAAAACUAAAAAUAGGACUACCAUAUGACCUGGCUACCCUACUCUUCGGUGUAUAACUGAAAGAAUUAACGUCAGCACGCUGUAGGACCAGCGGCACACCAGGGUUUGUUGGAGAACUGGCUUCAGACCCCAUCAACAGAUGGGUGGUUUAUAUACACAAUGAAGUAUUACGUAGUGGCGAAGAGGAAUCUAGUUGUCUCUGUAGGAAAUUAGAUAGAACUGGAGAUGACCAUGAAAUAAGGUGACUGAGACAAGUAUGACACGUUUUUGCUAAUGUGUGGGAUCUAGGAGAGAUGGCACAAAGGCAGAGGGAGGUUAUUAUAAGACAAGAGGACCGGAGAAAGGGGGGGAAGUGGGUGUAAGGGAGGUAAGGGCUGGAAACGCUGUUAAUGGUAUCACUAAGAGCUUGAUGUCACCACGAGCCUAGGGAGGUGAAAGGAUGUCCACUCCACAGCAGCAUGCGGGGCGUUGCUGAUCUUUCAUUUUCAAAGAUGCAUCUGGGGCCCAGUCCCAGCCCUUCACCCACAGCCCCGCUGCCCAAGCCGGGCCUCUCCUGUCUCUCUCGCUCACAUUGAAGUCGGGCCUGACCUUCCUCAGGGCCGCAGGCUCAAGUCCCUCACCGUUUUCUCUUUCUAAUUAAGGCUUUUUUUUGUUUUUAGGCCAGGUGUGAUAGCUCACACCUGUAACCCCAGCACUCGGGAGGCUGAGGCAGGAGGAUUGCACGAGUGUGAGGCCAGCCUGGGCUACAUAAAAGAUAGCCAGAGCCGGAGACGGGCAAUGCCUGGCACUGAGCAGUGAGGAGUGGGCAGCAGCGCGAUACAGCGAGCCAGGGAUCGCUUACACCUGAGAAGAAGCACAGAGCAGCCCAUGCCAGAAGAGAACCCAAGUGAAGCGUGGAGGACGGCCUCCUCGGGCGACCGCGAGUGUCAGUUGUCCCAAGGCAUUCUCAGCAGCCACACGUUCUUAGCUGAGAUCCCUGUAUUGGAAUCUUAAGACUCCACCUGCUGUUGGAGAAACUUGUGAAUACCUCUCGCUGUCCCUAGGAGAACCCGUCUCAUACCUUUACAGCUGUCCCCGGGUAUUAAGGCUCCUGAAAUGUUAUUGACACUGGAUUUGGUGGAACAGCAAUCAUGACCAGGAUCAGCAAGAGCAGCAAGAUGCUGCAGCACACUGACAAGCAGAUACAGUGUGUCCUGUAGGACGGCUGGGUCUCUUGACAAGCCUAGGAAUUUGACCCUCUGUGAUUGUGACAGUUCAGGAAGAUCAAGCCAAAGAAUGCAGAACAGCCAGAGCGUGAAGAGAAGCAGGCCUGGGGUCUGGCUUUGCUGCCUGGGAAGGACUUGGUAUCCGUGACUGUGGAACAACCCCUCCUGAAGAUACUG